rnacentral:rRNA from 1 species
GGUUAAGCGACUAAGCGUACACGGUGGAUGCCCUGGCAGUCAGAGGCGAUGAAGGACGUGCUAAUCUGCGAUAAGCGUCGGUAAGGUGAUAUGAACCGUUAUAACCGGCGAUUUCCGAAUGGGGAAACCCAGUGUGUUUCGACACACUAUCAUUAACUGAAUCCAUAGGUUAAUGAGGCGAACCGGGGGAACUGAAACAUCUAAGUACCCCGAGGAAAAGAAAUCAACCGAGAUUCCCCCAGUAGCGGCGAGCGAACGGGGAGCAGCCCAGAGCCUGAAUCAGUGUGUGUGUUAGUGGAAGCGUCUGGAAAGGCGCGCGAUACAGGGUGACAGCCCCGUACACAAAAAUGCACAUGCUGUGAGCUCGAUGAGUAGGGCGGGACACGUGGUAUCCUGUCUGAAUAUGGGGGGACCAUCCUCCAAGGCUAAAUACUCCUGACUGACCGAUAGUGAACCAGUACCGUGAGGGAAAGGCGAAAAGAACCCCGGCGAGGGGAGUGAAAAAGAACCUGAAACCGUGUACGUACAAGCAGUGGGAGCACGCUUAGGCGUGUGACUGCGUACCUUUUGUAUAAUGGGUCAGCGACUUAUAUUCUGUAGCAAGGUUAACCGAAUAGGGGAGCCGAAGGGAAACCGAGUCUUAACUGGGCGUUAAGUUGCAGGGUAUAGACCCGAAACCCGGUGAUCUAGCCAUGGGCAGGUUGAAGGUUGGGUAACACUAACUGGAGGACCGAACCGACUAAUGUUGAAAAAUUAGCGGAUGACUUGUGGCUGGGGGUGAAAGGCCAAUCAAACCGGGAGAUAGCUGGUUCUCCCCGAAAGCUAUUUAGGUAGCGCCUCGUGAAUUCAUCUCCGGGGGUAGAGCACUGUUUCGGCAAGGGGGUCAUCCCGACUUACCAACCCGAUGCAAACUGCGAAUACCGGAGAAUGUUAUCACGGGAGACACACGGCGGGUGCUAACGUCCGUCGUGAAGAGGGAAACAACCCAGACCGCCAGCUAAGGUCCCAAAGUCAUGGUUAAGUGGGAAACGAUGUGGGAAGGCCCAGACAGCCAGGAUGUUGGCUUAGAAGCAGCCAUCAUUUAAAGAAAGCGUAAUAGCUCACUGGUCGAGUCGGCCUGCGCGGAAGAUGUAACGGGGCUAAACCAUGCACCGAAGCUGCGGCAGCGACGCUUAUGCGUUGUUGGGUAGGGGAGCGUUCUGUAAGCCUGCGAAGGUGUGCUGUGAGGCAUGCUGGAGGUAUCAGAAGUGCGAAUGCUGACAUAAGUAACGAUAAAGCGGGUGAAAAGCCCGCUCGCCGGAAGACCAAGGGUUCCUGUCCAACGUUAAUCGGGGCAGGGUGAGUCGACCCCUAAGGCGAGGCCGAAAGGCGUAGUCGAUGGGAAACAGGUUAAUAUUCCUGUACUUGGUGUUACUGCGAAGGGGGGACGGAGAAGGCUAUGUUGGCCGGGCGACGGUUGUCCCGGUUUAAGCGUGUAGGCUGGUUUUCCAGGCAAAUCCGGAAAAUCAAGGCUGAGGCGUGAUGACGAGGCACUACGGUGCUGAAGCAACAAAUGCCCUGCUUCCAGGAAAAGCCUCUAAGCAUCAGGUAACAUCAAAUCGUACCCCAAACCGACACAGGUGGUCAGGUAGAGAAUACCAAGGCGCUUGAGAGAACUCGGGUGAAGGAACUAGGCAAAAUGGUGCCGUAACUUCGGGAGAAGGCACGCUGAUAUGUAGGUGAAGUCCCUCGCGGAUGGAGCUGAAAUCAGUCGAAGAUACCAGCUGGCUGCAACUGUUUAUUAAAAACACAGCACUGUGCAAACACGAAAGUGGACGUAUACGGUGUGACGCCUGCCCGGUGCCGGAAGGUUAAUUGAUGGGGUCAGCGCAAGCGAAGCUCUUGAUCGAAGCCCCGGUAAACGGCGGCCGUAACUAUAACGGUCCUAAGGUAGCGAAAUUCCUUGUCGGGUAAGUUCCGACCUGCACGAAUGGCGUAAUGAUGGCCAGGCUGUCUCCACCCGAGACUCAGUGAAAUUGAACUCGCUGUGAAGAUGCAGUGUACCCGCGGCAAGACGGAAAGACCCCGUGAACCUUUACUAUAGCUUGACACUGAACAUUGAGCCUUGAUGUGUAGGAUAGGUGGGAGGCUUUGAAGUGUGGACGCCAGUCUGCAUGGAGCCGACCUUGAAAUACCACCCUUUAAUGUUUGAUGUUCUAACGUUGACCCGUAAUCCGGGUUGCGGACAGUGUCUGGUGGGUAGUUUGACUGGGGCGGUCUCCUCCUAAAGAGUAACGGAGGAGCACGAAGGUUGGCUAAUCCUGGUCGGACAUCAGGAGGUUAGUGCAAUGGCAUAAGCCAGCUUGACUGCGAGCGUGACGGCGCGAGCAGGUGCGAAAGCAGGUCAUAGUGAUCCGGUGGUUCUGAAUGGAAGGGCCAUCGCUCAACGGAUAAAAGGUACUCCGGGGAUAACAGGCUGAUACCGCCCAAGAGUUCAUAUCGACGGCGGUGUUUGGCACCUCGAUGUCGGCUCAUCACAUCCUGGGGCUGAAGUAGGUCCCAAGGGUAUGGCUGUUCGCCAUUUAAAGUGGUACGCGAGCUGGGUUUAGAACGUCGUGAGACAGUUCGGUCCCUAUCUGCCGUGGGCGCUGGAGAAUUGAGGGGGGCUGCUCCUAGUACGAGAGGACCGGAGUGGACGCAUCACUGGUGUUCGGGUUGUCAUGCCAAUGGCACUGCCCGGUAGCUAAAUGCGGAAGAGAUAAGUGCUGAAAGCAUCUAAGCACGAAACUUGCCCCGAGAUGAGUUCUCCCUGACUCCUUGAGAGUCCUGAAGGAACGUUGAAGACGACGACGUUGAUAGGCCGGGUGUGUAAGCGCAGCGAUGCGUUGAGCUAACCGGUACUAAUGAACCGUGAGGCUUAACCUU